CCUACGGGAGGCAGCAGUAGGGAAUCUUGCUCAAUGGGCGAAAGCCUGAAGCAGCGACGCCGCGUGCGGGAUGAAGGCCCUCGGGUCGUAAACCGCUUUCAGCAGGAACGAAAUUGACGGUACCUGCAGAAGAAGCACCGGCCAACUACGUGCCAGCAGCCGCGGUAAUACGUAGGGUGCAAGCGUUGUCCGGAUUCAUUGGGCGUAAAGAGCUCGUAGGCGGUUCAGUAAGUCGGGUGUGAAAUCUCCGUGCUCAACACGGAGCGGCCACCUGAUACUGCUGUGACUAGAGUCCGGUAGGGGAGUGUGGAAUUCCUGGUGUAGCGGUGAAAUGCGCAGAUAUCAGGAGGAACACCAGUGGCGAAGGCGGCACUCUGGGCCGUGACUGACGCUGAGGAGCGAAAGCGUGGGUAGCAAACAGGAUUAGAUACCCUGGUAGUCCACGACGUAACGUAGGCACUAGUGUGGUCGUCUAUCGACGGAGUCGUCGCGUAGCUACGACAUAAGUCGCCCGCCGUGGGAGGUACGGCCGCGAGGACGUAAACGUACAAUUAGAAGUUAGUUACGGCGUGAGACGUUGCCGACGGACGACGACGAGGGAGGAGG
rnacentral:rRNA from 1 species